CUACUUAUAUAACAACAUCAUAAAAAUAAAAAAGUUGAGUAAAUGUUUAUUGUGUGUCUCUCUCUCAGAAUCAGCUGUAAUGGCGCAAGUUGGCCUGUGGGUGGCGGUGUUGGCUGCGUGUUUCCUCGCAGUGGUGAAUGCUGAGCAGGGCCCCAAAAAUCCUCCCCCGGUGCCGAGUUUCCUCUGUGAGCAGGCCACACACGGACCACUCAUGACCAUGGGAGACGUGUUCACCAUGCUCCUCACCAACUACAGGGUGCAGGAUCCAGAAUAUCUCUCUCUCUUUUACUGUCUGUUUCUCUCUCUGUCUUUCUUCUGUCUCUCCCCCUUUCUUUCUUUCACAAUUCAAAAAAGGAUGUAUUGGCCUGACCAUAGUAAAUUACAGAGUUGCCAAAGCAUUCAUGAAUUAAUUGCCUCUCUGCCUCUUUCUUUCUUUCUUUCUUUCUUUUGUUUCUACCUCUGGUUGUUUGUCUGUCGUUCUCACAGAAUGUCUGUCUGUCUGUGUCUAAUGACUUUCUUGAAAGUGAAUUUAGAACACUCAUUUAGAACAGCUUUUUCUUCAUUCUGUUCUGUCUCUCUAACUCUCUUUCUUUCUUUCUGUCUCUCCCUUUUUCUUUCUUUCUGUAUCUCUCCCUCUCAUUUUUCUUUCUUCCUUUCUGUCUCUCUCCUUCUCUUACUUUCUUUGUCUCUCUCCCUCUCCUUCCUGCUUUCUGUCUCUCUCCUUCUCUUACUUUCUUUCUGUCUCUCUCCUUCUCCUUCUUUCUGUCUCUCUCCUUCUCUUACUUUCUUUGUUUCUCUCCCUCUCCUUCUUGCUUUCUGUCUCUCUCCCUCUAUGUUAUUAUUUUUUCUCUUACUCUCUUUCUUUCUGUCUCUCUCCUUCUCUUACUUUUUUCUGUCUUUCUCCCUCUUUUUCUUUGUGUCUCUCCCCUUCUCUUUCUUUCUUUGUGUCCCUCUCCCUCUAUGGCUUUUUUUUAUUAUCCCUCUCUUUCUUUCUGUCUCUCUCCUUCUCUUACUUUUUUUUGUCUUUCUCCCUCUUUUUCUUU
rnacentral:lncRNA from 1 species